ACAGAGGGUGCAAGCGUUAAUCGGAGUUACUGGGCGUAAAGGGCGCGUAGGUGGAUAUUUAAGUCGGAUGUGAAAUCCCCGGGCUUAACCUGGGAAUUGCAUUCGAUACUGGAUAUCUCGAGUAUGGUAGAGGAAAGCGGAAUUCCCGGUGUAGGGUUGAAAUGCGUGAAUUUCGGGAAGACCAUCAGGGCGAAGGCGGCUUUCUGGACCAAUACUGACGCUGAGGCGCGAAAGCGUGGGGAGCAAACAG
rnacentral:rRNA from 1 species